rnacentral:misc_RNA from 1 species
GAUGAAGAACGCAGCGAAAUGCGAUAAGUAAUGUGAAUUGCAGAAUUCAGUGAAUCAUCGAAUCUUUGAACGCACAUUGCGCCCGCUAGUAUUCUGGCGGGCAUGCCUGUUCGAGCGUCAUUUCAACCAUCAAGCCCUGCUUGUGUUGGGGUCCUGCGGCUGCCCGCAGGCCCUGAAAACCAGUGGCGGGCUCGCUAGUCACACCGAGCGCAGUAGCACAUCUCGCUCAGGGCGUGCGGCGGGUUCUUGCCGUAAAACACCCCCUUUUUACCAAGGUUGACCUCGGAUCAGGUAGGAAUACCCGCUGAACUUAAGCAUAUCAAUAAGCGGAGGA